GACGAACGCUGGCGGCGUGCCUAACACAUGCAAGUCGAGCGAAGUGAGUACUACGGUACGAACUUAGCGGCGGACGGGUGAGUAACGCGUGGACAAUCUACCCUGUAGACUGGGAUAACACCUCGAAAGGGGUGCUAAUACCGGAUAAUGUCGAGAAGCGGCAUCGCUUUUCGAAGAAAGGAGAGAAUCCGCUAUAGGAGGAGUCCGCGUCCCAUUAGCUAGUUGGUGAGGGUAACGGCCCACCAAGGCGACGAUGGGUAGCCGGCCUGAGGGGGGGAACGGCCACACUGGAACUGAGACACGGUCCAGACUCCUACGGGAGGCAGCAGUGGGGAAUAUUGUGCAAUGGGGGAAACCCUGACACAGCAACGCCGCGUGAGCGAAGAAGGCCUUCGGGUUGUAAAGCUCAAUAGUAUGGGAAGAUAAUGCCGGUACCAUACGAAAGCCCCGGCUAACUACGUGCCAGCCGCCGCAGUAACAC
rnacentral:rRNA from 1 species